GUGCAGACAACUUUUAUGGUACAGUGUCCACCAUUAGCUCUGUUGCUGGCCUUCUCCGCCAGAAUUCCAUGAACUCACGGAUUGAGAAUCAGAUGAACAAUCCUGGAAGUCCAUAUGCUGGGACUCCUGUUCAGAUCCCAUCUGCGGGCUCUUCAACCGCUCUGCCACAAGCUCAACCCAAUCCUCCUUCUCCCUUCUCAUGUCCAACGCCUUCAUCAUCUAAUAAUCCCCCUCAGAGUUCUCAUAAUGUGCUAACACCAUCAACUGCUGCAAACCAUGUAGUUUCAGCAAAUUCACCAACCCAACUACCAGUGCAACAAUCAUCUUCGGCCAAAUGAGCUCGAUCCAAAUGAGUCGCAGAGAUCUGUUGAGAAAAUCAUACAAGAGAUAAUGAUUUCUUCACAGUUUAGUGGGGGAGGUAGCAUGGUUAGUGUUGAUUCUGAAGGGAACAACAUGAAGAACAUGAAUGGGCUUGCAUUGAAAAAUCAAAAUGUCGUUACUAGUGGGAAGUGCCUCGUGGGCAAUGGUAUUGUAGACUCCAGUUCAAGUACUAUGGGUGGAGAGAUGAGGAGCUUGGGUCAUGGAAAUGGUCUGUCUUCCACCACUACUGGAAUCAAAGCUGCCAUGGGAAACAACUCGGGGACUUUGCUUGGAAGGACGGGCAUGCCAUUGUUGCAUCACGAUGCUGUUAUUAAUCAUCGGCAACAGGAAUUCACUAAUCAGUUAAUGGGAUUGGAGCUGUAAAUAGCUUUCUUGAUGACCAAUUUGACUGGAAAUCUGCCUAAAGAGGUUAGUUUUGCUGAUGUAUUCAUGACAAUUGCCUAUGGCCCUAUGCCUUCUGAUGGGAUAUUCUAUUGGUGAUACCAAGUGCAUCUGCUACAUGAUCGAGGAUUAAUUUGUGUCUAUUAAUUGGAGCUUAUACAGUUGCAGCGAUUUUUGUAGUUGGUACUAUUUCUAGAGGGAAGGAAAAUGUAUAGUUUUGUGUUGAGUUGGUCCACCCUCUCUUCUUAUCUUGAGUUUAUACUUGGGUUCUUUCUGCCGGUUUUGUAUGUAUGGUUUGCACAGCUUUGAAACGAG
rnacentral:misc_RNA from 1 species